CCUACGGGAGGCUGCAGUGGGGAAUAUUGCACAAUGGGGGAAACCCUGAUGCAGCGACGCCGCGUGAGUGAAGAAGUAUUUCGGUAUGUAAAGCUCUAUCAGCAGGGAAGAAAUAAAGUCCUUCGGACUUUGGACGGUACCUGACUAAGAAGCCCCGGCUAACUACGUGCCAGCAGCCGCGGUAAUACGUAGGGGGCAAGAGUUAUCCGGAUUUAGUGGGUGUAAAGGGAGCGUAGACGGCAGCGCAAGUCUGGAGUGAAAUCCCAUGGCUUAACCAUGGAACUGCUUUGGAAACUGUGCAGCUGGAGUGCAGGAGAGGUAAGCGGAAUUCCUAGUGUAGCGGUGAAAUGCGUAGAUAUUAGGAGGAACACCAGUGGCGAAGGCGGCUUACUGGACUGUAACUGACGUUGAGGCUCGAAAGCGUGGGGAGCAAACAGGAUUAGAUACCCUUGUAGUC
rnacentral:rRNA from 1 species